AGUGAACGCUGGCGGCAGGCCUAACACAUGCAAGUCGAACGGCAGCACAGAGGAGCUUGCUCCUUGGGUGGCGAGUGGCGGACGGGUGAGGAAUGCAUCGGAAUCUGCCUAUUUGUGGGGGAUAACGUAGGGAAACUUACGCUAAUACCGCAUACGUCCUACGGGAGAAAGUGGGGGACCGCAAGGCCUCACGCAGAUAGAUGAGCCGAUGCCGGAUUAGCUAGUUGGCGGGGUAAAGGCCCACCAAGGCGACGAGCCGUAGCUGGUCUGAGAGGAUGAUCAGCCACACUGGAACUGAGACACGGUCCAGACUCCUACGGGAGGCAGCAGUGGGGAAUAUUGGACAAUGGGCGCAAGCCUGAUCCAGCCAUGCCGCGUGUGUGAAGAAGGCCUUCGGGUUGUAAAGCACUUUUGUCCGGAAAGAAAGGCAUCCGAUUAAUACUCGGGUGUUAUGACGGUACCGGAAGAAUAAGCACCGGCUAACUUCGUGCCAGCCGCCGCCGUAACAC
rnacentral:rRNA from 1 species